GACGAACGCUGGCGGCGUGCUUAACGCAUGCAAGUCGAACGGAAAGGCCCUGCUUUUGUGGGGUGCUCGAGUGGCGAACGGGUGAGUAACACGUGAGUAACCUGCCCUUGACUUUGGGAUAACUUCAGGAAACUGGGGCUAAUACCGGAUAGGAGCUCCUGCUGCAUGGUGGGGGUUGGAAAGUUUCGGCGGUUGGGGAUGGACUCGCGGCUUAUCAGCUUGUUGGUGGGGUAGUGGCUUACCAAGGCUUUGACGGGUAGCCGGCCUGAGAGGGUGACCGGCCACAUUGGGACUGAGAUACGGCCCAGACUCCUACGGGAGGCAGCAGUGGGGAAUAUUGCACAAUGGGCGGAAGCCUGAUGCAGCAACGCCGCGUGCGGGAUGCCGGCCUUCGGGUUGUAAACCGCUUUCGCCUGUGACGAAGCGUGAGUGACGGUAAUGGGUAAAGAAGCACCGGCUAACUACGUG
rnacentral:rRNA from 1 species